rnacentral:lncRNA from 1 species
UGUCCUAGUGAGCUCACGCCUAGAUGAGGGACGCUCUGGUGAACACACAAUUUAACCUUCAGUAGAAUCCAAGCAGGUAAAUAUCAGGUUUUAGAAGAAGAGAAAGACCACGUUUGGCAAAGAGGCACAUGAUGGCUUUGAAGAUCUGGGAAACGUGGAGCUAGAAAUCUGGAAGACUUCAGACCCUUUGGAGGAAAGAGAGGCUAUAAAGCCAAGGUCCCUUUAAGACAUGGCAGUGAAACGAUGAAACAGGCAAAAGCUGGUUGGAGAGGAGUCAUCAGAGAAGGAGCUUUAAGUGAAUUUCUUGACGAUGGUGCGCGGAUGGAUGGAGGAAGCCUCCUUGCUGAUAUAGAGUUGUGAUCCGGGGUGGAUGG